CCUACGGGUGGCAGCAGUGGGGAAUAUUGGACAAUGGGCGAAAGCCUGAUCCAGCCAUGCCGCGUGUGUGAAGAAGGCCUUCGGGUUGUAAAGCACUUUCAGUGGGGAAGAAAGCCUUGGGGCUAAUACCCUCGAGGAAGGACAUCACCCACAGAAGAAGCACCGGCUAACUCCGUGCCAGCAGCCGCGGUAAUACGGAGGGUGCGAGCGUUAAUCGGAAUUACUGGGCGUAAAGCGCGCGUAGGCGGUCUGAUAAGCCGGUUGUGAAAGCCCCGGGCUCAACCUGGGAACGGCAUCCGGAACUGUCAGGCUAGAGUGCAGGAGAGGAAGGUAGAAUUCCCGGUGUAGCGGUGAAAUGCGUAGAGAGCGGGAGGAAUACCAGUGGCGAAGGCGGUCUUCUGGACUGACACUGACGCUGAGGUGCGAAAGCGUGGGUAGCAAACAGGAUUAGAUACCCGUGUAGUC
rnacentral:rRNA from 1 species